GAUGAAGAACGCAGUGAAAUGCGAUAAGUAGUGUGAAUUGCAGAAUUCAGUGAAUCAUCGAAUCUUUGAACGCACAUUGCGCCCCUUGUUAUUCCAUGGGGCAUGCCUGUUCGAGCGUCAUUUGUACCCUCAAGCUUUGCUUGGUGUUGGGUGUUUGUCCCGCGUUGCGCGUGGACUCGCCUUAAAGCGAUUGGCAGCCGGCAUAUUGGCCUUGGAGCGCAGCACAUUUUGCGCUUCUAGUCAUGAAUGUUGGCGUCCAUUAAGCCUAUACAUUUGCUCUUGACCUCGGAUCAGGUAGGGAUACCCGCUGAACUUAAGCAUAUCAAUAAGCGGAGGA
rnacentral:misc_RNA from 1 species